UAAGAAGGGUGCAAGCGUUAAUCGGAAUUACUGGGCGUAAAGCGCGCGUAGGUGGUUCAGUAAGUUGGAAGUGAAAUCCCCGGGCUCAACCUGGGAACUGCUUUCAAAACUGCUGAGCUAGAGUACGGUAGAGGGUGGUGGAAUUUCCUGUGUAGCGGUGAAAUGCGUAGAUAUAGGAAGGAACACCAGUGGCGAAGGCGACCACCUGGACUGAUACUGACACUGAGGUGCGAAAGCGUGGGGAGCAAACAGG
rnacentral:rRNA from 1 species